rnacentral:antisense_RNA from 1 species
GUUCUGGGCUUCUGGCUGCAUUCUAGGAAGAUCAUUCCUUAAAAGAAAUAGCCAUAUGGCUUAUAAGGGACUAUAUCUUAGGACUGUGUGUCUUCUGCAGUUCUUUGCAUAGAGUCAAUGUUGAAGGACAAGCAACUUCAAAUUUCCAAGCAACAAAAUUAUGUUCGGGUGGUUUUCUGAAAGCGAGAUCUUAAGAACCACCCGUAUCAGAAUCCCAUGAAGAGCUUGUUUAGUGUGCAAAUUUCCAGAUUGUCCCCCCUCAGAAAUGCUCAUUCAGGAGUUCAUGUCCUUUGCAGGGAUGUGGAUGAAGCUGGAAACCAUCAUCCUCAGCAAACUAACACAGGAACAGAAAACCAAACACUGCAUGUUCUCACUCAAAAGUGGGAGUUGAACAUGAGAAAACAUGGACACAGGGAGGGGAACAUCACACACCAGGGCCUGUCGGGGGGUGGGAGGUGCUAAAAGGAUAAUACCAAGGAAAACUACGGGUGGGGGCAGUGAAUGGCCAACAUGCCUAUAAUCCCAGCACUUGAAACCAGGAGUUCAAGACCAGCCUGGGAAACAAAGCAAGACCCUGUGUCUAAAAAAAUUUUUUUUAAAAUUAGCUGGGCAUGGUGGCACGUGCCUAUAGUCCCAGCUACUCAGCUACUCGAGAGACCAAGACGUGGAAUAAACUUGACAAAUGCUAAAGAUGCUCUUUGAUUUUUGUGUGGCAUGAGACCUCAGGCUGAAACUUCUCAUCUGAGCCAUUGAGGGGAGCCUCUCAUCUCUCCACCGAGAGGGGGAGACCAGAAUGGUUCCUUCAGGCACAUUCUGUUGGGCUUCCCUCUACCUCCCCACUCUGCUGCUUUCCAGCUCUUUUUGAAUUUCUCCCUGCUGAGGAGAGGGAAGACCAGCUAGGAGCUCUGUUUCUGGCAGGAAUCUGACACCACUUAAUCCUUGGGUAGAAACUCCCCCAAGUCU